rnacentral:misc_RNA from 1 species
GAACGCAUAUUGCACUCGAGGCCUCGGCCGAGAGUAUGUCUGCCUCAGCGUCGGUUUCACCCCUCGCCACCCCCUGUCCCUCCUUGGGCUUCCGAAGCCGAAGGCUGGUGCCACGGGCCGUGGGCGGAGCUGGCCGUCUCGGCUGCAAAGCCGGGUCGGCUGAAGCACAGAGGCUUGCGCAGCGACCCGUUCAAAAUGGGCAACAGCUUGGUAGGUGGCCUUCGCGCCGCAUGCCGCUGGCGCCCGUGGGUCCCGCUGACCGCGAAGCCCGCAGGAAACGUGGCGGCCGGUGAGUUCUCUCCCCGCAUGGCCGCCACACCUCUCAUUCGACCUGAGAUCAGGCAAGGUUACCCGCUGAACUUAAG